GGAAGGAUUCCCGAGUGGCUAAAGGGAGCAGACUGUAAAUCUGCCGUCCGUCGACUUCGAUGGUUCGAAUCCAUCUCCUUCCACCA
rnacentral:tRNA from 1 species